CUGUUAAUAACCCCGAAAACACCAACUACCAAACAACAAAUCAUUUUCCCCUCUAAGUAUAGGCGAUAGAAAAGAAACUCAUUAGAGCUAUAGAAAAAGUACCGCAAGGGAAUGCUGAAAAAGAAAUGAAAUAAAUCAGUAAAGUUCAAAAAAGCAGAGACUUACACUCGUACCUUUUGCAUCAUGACUUAGUCAGUAUAAACCAAGCAAAGAGCACUUUAGUUUGAUUCCCCGAAACUAGGUGAGCUACUCCAAGACAGCCUAAAAAUAGGGCUAACCCGUCUCUGUGGCAAAAGAGUGGGGAGAUCUUAGAGUAGAGGUGAUAAACCUACCGAACUUAGUUAUAGCUGGUUGCCUAAAAAAUGAAUAGGAGUUCAGCUUUUUGGUUCUCCCCCUCAAAAAUUACUUUGUUUAUACCUGACCCAAGAGACACCAAAAAAGUUAAUUAAAGGAGGUACAGCUCCUUUAAAACAAGAUACAACUUCACUCAGUCGGGUAGAGAUCAUAAUUAUAUAAGGCAAAUAUGUUUUAGUGGGCCUGAAAGCAGCCACCUAUAAGAAAGCGUUAAAGCUCAUUCAUACCCCCGCCCCUAAUUUAGAUAACAAAUCUAAACCCACUAAUUUUAUUAGGCCGCCCCAUGCUUACAUGGGGGCGACUAUGCUAACAUGAGUAAUAAGAAAAGACAGCUUUUCUCCUUGCACACCUGUAAAUCGAAACGGACCCCCCAUCGAACUUUAAUCGGCCCCAAAAAAAGAGGGUAAUGAGCCAAAAUCUCAGUAACAAGAAAAACACCCAAAUACCAACCGUUAACCCCACACUGGUGUGCUUACAAGGAAAGACUAAAAGAAAAAGAAGGAACUCGGCAAAUACAAGCCUCGCCUGUUUACCAAAAACACCGCCUCUUGUAUAUAGAAAAUAAGAGGUCA
rnacentral:rRNA from 1 species